rnacentral:rRNA from 1 species
AGUCGAGCGAAGCUUCAGUAGUUUACUACAGAAAAUGACUGAGCGGCGAACGGGUGAGUAACGCGUGAGCAAUCUACCUUAGUUACAGGGAUAGCCCGAGGAAACUCGGAUUAAUACCUGAUAUUCUUUAUAUUUCGCAUGAAAUUAAAAGGAAAGGUCAGCCGAACUAAGAUGAGCUCGCGUUCUAUCAGCUAGUUGGUGAGGUAAAAGCUUACCAAGGCUACGACGGAUAGCUGGUCUGAGAGGACGAUCAGCCACACUGGGACUGAGACACGGCCCAGACUCCUACGGGAGGCUGCAGCAGGGAAUAUUGCGCAAUGAGCGAAAGCUUGACGCAGCGACACCGCGUGUGGGAUGACGGAUCUAGGUUUGUAAACCACUUUCAGGAGGGAAGAAAAUGACGGUACCUCCACAAGAAGCCCCGGCCAACUACGUGCCAGCAGCCGCGGUAAUACGUAGGGGGCGAGCGUUGUCCGGAUUUAUUGGGCGUAAAGAGCUCGUAGGCGGUUCAACAAGUCGGUCGUGAAAGUUCAGGGCUCAACCCUGAAAUGUCGAUCGAUACUGUUGUGACUAGGAU